rnacentral:rRNA from 1 species
GAUGAACGCUGGCGGCGUGCCUAAUACAUGCAAGUCGAGCGAACAGACGAGGAUCUUGCUCCUCUGACGUUAGCGGCGGACGGGUGAGUAACACGUGGAUAACCUACCUAUAAGACUGGGAUAACUUCGGGAAACCGGAGCUCAUACCGGAUAAUAUAUUGAACCGCAUGGUUCAAUAGUGCAAGCCGGUUUUGCUGUCACUUAUAGAUGGAUCCGCGCCGCAUUAGCUAGUUGGUAAGGUAACGGCUUACCAAGGCAACGAUGCGUAGCCGACCUGAGAGGGUGAUCGGCCACACUGGAACUGAGACACGGUCCAGACUCCUACGGGAGGCAGCAGUAGGGAAUCUUCCGCAAUGGGCGAAAGCCUGACGGAGCAACGCCGCGUGAGUGAUGAAGGUCUUCGGAUCGUAAAACUCUGUUAUUAGGGAAGAACAAAUGUGUAAGUAACUAUGCACGUCUUGACGGUACCUAAUCAGAAAGCCACGGCUAACUACGUG